rnacentral:rRNA from 1 species
ACACGACUCUCGGCAACGGAUAUCUCGGCUCUCGCAUCGAUGAAGAACGUAGCAAAAUGCGAUACCUGGUGUGAAUUGCAGAAUCCCGCGAACCAUCGAGUUUUUGAACGCAAGUUGCGCCCGAGGCCUUCUGGUCGAGGGCACGUCUGCCUGGGCGUCACGC